AUUAUUAUGGUGUGAUCAAGAGAUUCUAGAAUUGUCAUAUUCAGGUUGGCCAAAUAAGAAGAUCAUACUUUUCCGAUGUAAGUGGUUUGACCCAACACCUAAAAGAGGUACAAAUGUACACUCGCAGUACAACAUAAUUGAGGUUAAUAAAAAGAGGGAGUAUGAUCGCUAUGAUCCUUUUAUAAUUGCAUAAAGAGUUAGGCAAGUUUACUAUGCUC
rnacentral:lncRNA from 1 species